UACGUAGGGGGCAAGCGUUGUCCGGAUUUAUUGGGCGUAAAGAGCGUGUAGGCGGCUAAAUAGGUCCGUUGUGAAAACUCGAGGCUCAACCUCGAGAUGCCGAUGGAAACCAUUUGGCUAGAGUCCGGAAGAGGAGAGUGGAAUUCCCGGUGUAGCGGUGAAAUGCGCAGAUAUCGGGAAGAACACCCGUGGCUAAGGCGGCUCUCUAGUACGGUACUGACGCUGAGACGCGAAAGCGUGGGGAGCGAACGGG
rnacentral:rRNA from 1 species